GCGAUCGCUGUGGCCAACCCCACUGACCUUGUCAAACUCAGGCCUCAGUCCGAGGGGAAGCUGGCACCUGGUUUGCCACACCGUUGCACGGACAAUGCAUGCUUAUGUGAAGAUUGUUAGGCAGGAAGGGGUUGCUGCUUUGUGCGGACUGACGUUGGUCUGAAUGUUGGACAUGAGGCCAUCAUAAACGCUUCUGAGUUGUUCAGUUAUGAUCAAGUGAAGCAGUCAUUAUCAAACUUCCUGGGUUCAAAGACGACGUCGUCACUCAUAUCUUCGCUGGUUUGGGUGCUCAAUUCUUUGCUGUUCAUGUUGGUUCUCCGGUCGACGUGUUGCUUAGAGGGUGCAUUUAAAGGAUGAGAAGGCACGUGUUGAUGAACUUUGAAAGAUGGUCUCAAUUUCCCAUGCGGGACUCUAUGGGAAUACAUGGUUAGUGCUCAACUGUAGUAUCUAUCUGCAAGAUACUAUUUUGUGCUGGCUUGUAUUUUUUAGGCAUGACAGAAUCUAGAUGUUGAUGACAAAAGCAGACUCGAUUAUUCAUCUCUAUCUGCAAGAUACUAUUCCCACCUCUAUUUUGUUGCUCUUGCUCCUAAGAAAGUAAUGCUGUGUUGUAGAAAGUGAGUUUCAUGCUCGAUUAUUUUACUCUUAUGUACCAACAUAAAGACAUGGCUGCUUGCAUGAACUGCCAGAAUAACAAACAAGUGGUGCAUUUUGCUACCAGUUUAAUAAAACAGUAUGCGUGUGAUGGAUCUUUUCAACUUUGCUUCCUACUCAAUUUGGUGCAGACUUUCUGAGAUAAUCCAAUUCGAACAUGUUUAUUGUUUGGUUUUGUUUUUCCCUG